rnacentral:rRNA from 1 species
ACGGGAGAGGAGCAGUAGGGAAUCUUCCACAAUGGACGCAAGUCUGAUGGAGCAACGCCGCGUGAGUGAAGAAGGUUUUCGGAUCGUAAAGCUCUGUUGUUGGUGAAGAAGGACAAGGAAAGUAACUGAUCUUUGUUUGACGGUAAUCAACCAGAAAGUCACGGCUAACUACGUGCCAGCAGCCGCGGUAAUACGUAGGUGGCAAGCGUUGUCCGGAUUUAUUGGGCGUAAAGCGAACGCAGGCGGGAAGAUAAGUCAGCUGUGAAAGCCCCCAGCUUAACUGGGGAACUGCAGCUGAAACUAUGUUUCUUGAGUGCAGAAGAGGAGAGUGGAACUCCAUGUGUAGCGGUGGAAUGCGUAGAUAUAUGGAAGAACACCAGUGGCGAAGGCGGCUCUCUGGUCUGUAACUGACGCUGAGGUUCGAAAGCAUGGGUAGCGAACAGGAUUAGAUACCCUGGUAGUCCAUGCCGUAAACGAUGAGUGCUAAGUGUUGGGAGGUUUCCGCCUCUCAGUGCUGCAGCUAACGCAUUAAGCACUCCGCCGGGAGU